UUAGAAUAUGACCUUGACCUUUGACCUUGACCUAAUUUUCAUUUUUUGGGACCAAGGACCUCAAAUCAAAAGAUCCUAGGUCUCUAUCACUUAUGAUUUAUAAGAUAGAAAUUCAUAUCACUUAUAUCAGAUGCAUAAGGGGAAAUAACUCUCAUAUGGAGCGAUCAUAUCGCUUCGGUCAAAAUAGGACAAAUCAUGCCAAGGAUAUAACGAGCAAUUUUGUAAAAUAAAUUUGUCAUAAUCUUUUACGGUUGCGAAGGAGAUGCGCUAACAAGGAAAACAGUGUUUGGGGAGAUAACUCCUACAAAGAAAAGUAUUCUUUUACGCAGGGUAAAUUUCAAAAGCGGAUAAACUGUUCAAUAUCAUAUACCAAAUAUCUAAGCGACAUAUUGUGAAACAAAUGUUUAUCGCAAGAACAAAAUUAGGCGGAAGAAAAAAAAAAAAAAAAAUAAUCAGAAGAAAAACAAUAGGUCUUUCCACAGAAAAGUGGAAAGACCUAAUUAAAAA
rnacentral:lncRNA from 1 species